rnacentral:rRNA from 1 species
UCGAGAAUUUUUCACAAUGGGCGAAAGCCUGAUGGAGCGACGCCGCGUGGGGGAUGAAUGGCUUCGGCCCGUAAACCCCUGUCAUUUGCGAACAAACCUUGUCAUUUAAAGGAUGACGAGCUGAUUGUAGCGAAAGAGGAAGGGACGGCUAACUCUGUGCCAGCAGCCGCGGUAAUACAGAGGUCCCAAGCGUUGUUCGGAUUCACUGGGCGUAAAGGGUGCGUAGGUGGUUGGGUAAGUCUGAUGUGAAAUCUCCGAGCCUAACUCGGAAACUGCAUCGGAUACUAUUCGGCUUGAGGGUUGGAGGGGGGACUGGAAUACUUGGUGUAGCAGUGAAAUGCGUAGAUAUCAAGUGGAACACCAGUGGCGAAGGCGAGUCCCUGGACAACUCCUGACACUGAGGCACGAAAGCUAGGGGAGCAAACAGGAUUAGAUACCCUGGUAGUCCUAGCCGUAAACGGUGCACGUUUGCUGUAAAAGG